CCUACGGGGGGCAGCAGUGGGGAAUAUUGCACAAUGGGGGAAACCCUGAUGCAGCAACGCCGCGUGAGCGAAGAAGGCCUUCGGGUCGUAAAGCUCUGUCCUAAGGGAAGAAGCAUGACGGUACCUUAGGAGGAAGCCCCGGCUAACUACGUGCCAGCAGCCGCGGUAAUACGUAGGGGGCGAGCGUUAUGCGGAAUCACUGGGCGUAAAGGGUGCGUAGGCGGCCGAUUAAGCCAGGGGUGAAAGGCUACGGCUCAACCGUAGUAAGCCCUUGGAACUGAUUGGCUUGAGUGCAGGAGAGGAGGGUGGAAUUCCUAGUGUAGCGGUGAAAUGCGAGGAAAUGAGGAGUAACACCAGGAGCCAAGGCGACUCUCUGGACUGUAACUGACGCUGUGGCACGAAAGCGUGUGGAGCGAACAGGAUUAGAUACCCUUGUAGUC
rnacentral:rRNA from 1 species